rnacentral:rRNA from 1 species
UACGGGGGGGGCGAGUGUUACUCAUAGUGAUUGGGCGUAAAGGGUGCGUAGACGGCAAUUCAAGUUUCAUUUGAAAUCCCACUACCCAAUAGUGGUCAUCUGAAAUACUGUAUUCGCUAGAGUUUGGCAAAGGUUAGUGGUACUUUUGAGGUAAAGGUGACAAUUAUCGAUCUCAAGGGGACCCCCAAUGGUGAAAACAACUAACUAGGCUUUAACUGACGUUGAGGCACGGGGGCAUGGGUAUCGAACAGG